AGUGAACGCUGGCGGUAGGCCUAACACAUGCAAGUCGAACGGCAGCACAGUAAGAGCUUGCUCUUACGGGUGGCGAGUGGCGGACGGGUGAGGAAUACAUCGGAAUCUACUUUUUCGUGGGGGAUAACGUAGGGAAACUUACGCUAAUACCGCAUACGACCUACGGGUGAAAGCAGGGGAUCUUCGGACCUUGCGCGAUUGAAUGAGCCGAUGUCGGAUUAGCUAGUUGGCGGGGUAAAGGCCCACCAAGGCGACGAUCCGUAGCUGGUCUGAGAGGAUGAUAAGACACACUGGGAAACAGAGACGGUCCAGAGUCCUACGCGGGGGACAAGAGGGGAAUAUUGGACACAGGGCGCGCGCGUCUUACAGAGAUAUCGCGUGGGGGAGGAGGACGUUUGGGGGGUGAAGCCCUUUUGUUGGGAAAGAAAAGCAGCAGGUUAAUACCCCGCUGUUCUGACGGUACCCAAAGAAUAAGCACCGGCUAACUUCGUG
rnacentral:rRNA from 1 species